rnacentral:rRNA from 1 species
AGAGUUUGAUCAUGGCUCAGAUUGAACGCUGGCGGCAUGCCUUACACAUGCAAGUCGAACGGCAGCGCGGGAGCAAUCCUGGCGGCGAGUGGCGAACGGGUGAGUAAUACAUCGGAACGUGCCCAAUCGUGGGGGAUAACGCAGCGAAAGCUGUGCUAAUACCGCAUACGAUCUACGGAUGAAAGCAGGGGAUCGCAAGACCUUGCGCGAAUGGAGCGGCCGAUGGCAGAUUAGGUAGUUGGUGAGGUAAAGGCUCACCAAGCCUUCGAUCUGUAGCUGGUCUGAGAGGACGACCAGCCACACUGGGACUGAGACACGGCCCAGACUCCUACGGGAGGCAGCAGUGGGGAAUUUUGGACAAUGGGCGCAAGCCUGAUCCAGCCAUGCCGCGUGCAGGAUGAAGGCCUUCGGGUUGUAAACUGCUUUUGUACGGAACGAAACGGCCUUUUCUAAUAAAGAGGGCUAAUGACGGUCCGUAAGAAUAAGCACCGGSUAACUACUGCCAGCAGCCGCGGUAAUACGUAGGGUGCAAGCGUUAAUCGGAAUUACUGGGCGUAAAGCGUGCGCAGGCGGUGAUGUAAGACAGUUGUGAAAUCCCCGGGCUCAACCUGGGAACUGCAUCUGUGACUGCAUCGCUGGAGUCCGUAGAGGGGGAUGGAAUUCCGCGUGUACCAGUGAAAUGCGUAGAUAUGCGGAGGAACACCGAUGG